AUAUGGUAAUGGCUGCAUGGCUCAGUAGGCUGAAUCAUAAAGAGAUCUACCAUUUGUCUGAUGUAAAA
ensembl:snoRNA